GAUGAACGCUGGCGGCGUGCCUAAUACAUGCAAGUCGAGCGAACGGACGAGAAGCUUGCUUCUCUGAUGUUAGCGGCGGACGGGUGAGUAACACGUGGAUAACCUACCUAUAAGACUGGGAUAACUUCGGGAAACCGGAGCUAAUACCGGAUAAUAUUUUGAACCGCAUGGUUCAAAAGUGAAAGACGGUCUUGCUGCCACUUAUAGAUGGAUCCGCGCUGCAUUAGCUAGUUGGUAAGGUAACGGCUUACCAAGGCAACGAUGCAUAGCCGACCUGAGAGGGUGAUGGGCCACACUGGAACUGAGACACGGUCCAGACUCCUACGGGAGGCAGCAGUAGGGAAUCUUCCGCAAUGGGCGAAAGCCUGACGGAGCAACGCCGCGUGAGUGAUGAAGGUCUUCGGAUCGUAAAACUCUGUUAUUAGGGAAGAACAUAUGUGUAAGUAACUGUGCACAUCUUGACGGUACCUAAUCAGAAAGCCACGGCUAACUACGUG
rnacentral:rRNA from 1 species